rnacentral:lncRNA from 1 species
AGACACCAAGGAGAGGCCAACAGAUGAGGGGAGCCAUUUUUCUGCAAUGGAAUUAAAUGGCCAAGCUAAAGGAUUCACAAUUGGAAGAAUGAAGAAGACUUUUUAAAAAGAUCUGGAUUUUUCCUUAUGACUUGGAAUCCAUCUUUGUCUUGUAUAACUAGGUCAUAGCACACCAUUAAUGUCAGCAGUUAACAAUUUUGAAUUCCAAAAAACCUAAAGCAGUAAACAGUCCUCAGCGAAGCCGCCUUUUGCCAACCCAACCCUGGAAAGUUUGCAGAAGUGGAAGGAGCAGAAAAUGCCAUGAGAGUGUAACUUUAAAAAGCUUGAUCUUCCAGACUCCUUGGCACCGGGCUGAGCGGGCGAGAGAAAGGUCUCUCUAGCGACCUCGGACAUCCAUGGAGCCGCCUGCGCUCGUCCCCCUCGCUUUUCUAGGCUCACGACCGGAGAAGAGGUAUCCCCAACGUUGACCGUCUUUUUUCGGACAGCAGAAACAGGUCCAGUUUGACUCUGACAAUCUUCCCGCUAAGGAAUUCCUGGUGAAUAGAGGAAUGACACCGGUCCUCAGAACAUCUCGCAGGCUGGAGUGAAUGACACAGUUUGCUCAGAGUGGGUGACCCUUCUAAGUGAAAUCUCCCAAGGUUCCUCCAGCUUCCAGCUGCCACUGUGCACCCCAGCCCUGUCCCAGCCUCACCAGCCAAUCACAGCUCCUCCCUGGUCAUGGGAAAAGCUUUGUCUGGGCUCCUCUCCUGUUAAGAGCCUCUGUCCAGCACCCCUCUUGAGCCUGGCAACCAGGCCUCCACGAUCUAACCCUGGUUACUAACUUGACAAUCAUGUCUGGCCUCCCUCACUCCCCAGCCACUGCCAAACCUGAUAUGAUGUCUAGCCACCAUACACUUACCCAGGCUGGGUACCCAUCCUACUUCUGCUGGCCUUUCCUGCCAGCACUGACAAGCUUGGUUCAUGUGCUGCCUGCCUCUCAACCUUCUCUGAACCCUAGAGGCUCUGGUGUCUAAAUUGUUCACAUCUCAGAACGCUUCCCCCAAGACUGAGUUCCUCAGAGGCAGGAACACAAUUCCCUCUCAAUAAACUUGUGCUGC